UACGAAGGGGGCUAGCGUUGCUCGGAAUCACUGGGCGUAAAGCGCACGUAGGCGGCUUUCUAAGUUCAGGGGUGAAAUCCUGGAGCUCAACUCCAGAACCUGCCUUUGAUACUGGAGAGCUUGAGUCCGGAAAGAGGUGAGUGGAACUCCGGAGUGUAGAGGUGAAAUUCGUAGAUAUUCGGAAGAACACCAGUGGCGAAGGCGGCUCACUGGUCCGGUACUGACGCUGAGGUGCGAAAGCGUGGGGAGCAAACAGG
rnacentral:rRNA from 1 species